rnacentral:misc_RNA from 1 species
CCAGAGAUGGUGGGCUCCGGUCCCCGUCCCCAACCCUUUGUCUACCAAAACCUUUUUGCCUCGGGGGCAGAGCGGCCGCCGCCGCCCCCGGAGGACCACCCAACUCUGUCUCUUUACGUCGGAGUAUUUGAUUGAAUAAGUAA